AUCUGGUUGAUCCUGCCAGUAGUCAUACGCUCGUCUCAAAGAUUAACCCAUGCAUGGGUAAGUAUAAUUAAUUAGUUUGGAAACUGGGAAGGGUUCAUUAUAUCAGUUAUAGUUUAUUUGGUGAAGGAUACUAAUUGGAUAACCGUAGUAAUUCUAGGGCUAAUACAUGAGAAAAGCCCCAUUGGGAGGGGGUUAUUAAAAUGAAAACCAUAUGGUUCCGCAUGAUAAGGGAUAAUAAUAACCUAUCCUAUCCCAUGGUUAAAGGAACGAUGAAUCUUUCCAGUUUCUGCCCUAACCGCUUUCGAUGGGAGCAUAUGGGGCCACCCUGGGAGUAACGGGUAACCAAAAAUUUGGGGUCCAAUUCCGAAAAGGAACCUGAAAAAAGGCUACCACCUCCCAAGAAAGGAACAAGGGCCUAAAUUACCCCAUUCUGACACCGGGAAGGAAUGACCAUAAAUCACCAUGGGGGACUGAUACUCUUGCAAUUGGAUUGAAAACCACGGACCACUCCUAAUCAUUAACCAUUGGAAGGCAAGUCUGGUGCCAACAGCCGGGGUAAUUUCAGCUUCCAUAACGUAUAAAUUCCAGCUCCAAAAGUUACUU
rnacentral:rRNA from 1 species